GGCGAACGCUGGCGGCGUGCUUAACACAUGCAAGUCGAGGGAGAACGGCGGGCUUCGGCCUUCCUAGUAAACCGGCGCACGGGUGAGUAACACGUAGGUAACCUACCUUCGAGACCGGGAUAACCUAUCGAAAGAUGGGCUAAUACCGGAUAUGACCACGGGAGUCUCGGCUUCUGCGGUAAAAGAUGGCCUCUGCUUGCAAGCUAUCACUCGAGGAUGGGCCUGCGCGCCAUUAGCUAGUUGGUGAGGUAACGGCUCACCAAGGCUACGAUGGCUAGUUGGUCUGAGAGGAUGACCAGCCACACUGGGACUGAGACACGGCCCAGACUCCUACGGGAGGCAGCAGUGGGGAAUAUUGCGCAAU
rnacentral:rRNA from 1 species